GGUUUCUUGAUAAAGAAAAAUAAGAAAUCUAACCUGCCCAAUGAGAAAUAAGGUUAAAUGGCCGCGGUAUUUUGACCGUGCGAAGGUAGCAUAAUCAUUAGUCUUUUAAUUGUGGACUGGAAUGAAUGGUUGGACGUAAUAAUGUCUUUUUUAUUUUUAUAGAUUGAAUUUUACUUUUUAGUGAAGAGGCUAAAAUGAGACCAAAAGACAAGAAGACCCUAUCAAGUUUUAUUAUUAUAAUAUUGGUAAUUAAAGGUAAUAGAUAAAUAUAAGGUAAUUUUACUGGGGCGGUGAGUUAAAACUAAUUAGGAUCCAAAAUUUUUGAUUGUUUGAUUAAAUUACUGUAGGGAUAACAGCGUAAUCUUAUUUGAGAGUUCAUAUCGACAAUAAGGGUUGCGACCUCGAUGUUGGAUUAGAAUUCCUUCUUGGAGCAGAAUCUAAGGAUGGUGGUCUGUUCGACCAUUAAAAUUCUACA
rnacentral:rRNA from 1 species